GACGAACGCUGGCGGCGUGCUUAACACAUGCAAGUCGAACGGGAACCUUUAUUUCGGUAAAGGUGAGAGUGGCAAACGGGUGAGUAACACGUAGGCAACCUGCCGACAGGAUGGGGACAACAUUCCGAAAGGAAUGCUAAUACCGAAUGGAGUCCGGGGAUGGCAUCAUCCCUGGAUAAAAGAUGGCCUCUGAAUAUGCUAUCGCCUGUCGAUGGGCCUGCGUCUGAUUAGCCAGUUGGCGGGGUAACGGCCCACCAAAGCGACGAUCAGUAGCCGGUCUGAGAGGAUGAACGGCCACAUUGGGACUGAGACACGGCCCAGACUCCUACGGGAGGCAGCAGUGGGGAAUCUUCCACAAUGGGCGAAAGCCUGAUGGAGCAACGCCGCGUGAGUGAAGAAGGUCUUCGGAUCGUAAAGCUCUGUUGCACGGGACGAAAACCGGGUUUGGGAAUAUGAACCCGGG
rnacentral:rRNA from 1 species